rnacentral:rRNA from 1 species
GACAAACGCUGGCGGCGUGCCUAACACAUGCAAGUCGUACGAGAAAGUCGGCUUCGGCCGAUGAGUACAGUGGCGCACGGGUGAGUAACGCGUGGGUAAUCUGCCCCCCGGUCAGGAAUGACCCGCCGAAGGGCGGGCUAAUACCCGAUAACACUGACGCUCUGCGGAGUGUCUUUCAAAGAAGGCCUCUGUUUACAAGCUUUCGCCGGAGGAUGAGCCCGCGUACCAUUAGCUAGUUGGCAGGGUAAUGGCCUACCAAGGCAACGAUGGUUAGCGGGUCGGGGAGGAUGGCCAGCCACACUGGAACUGGGACACGGUCCAGACUCCUACGGGAGGCAGCAGUGAGGAAUCUUGCGCAAUGGGGGAAACCCUGACGCAGCAACGCCGCGUGAGUGAAGAAGGCCUUCGGGUCGUAAAGCUCUGUCAGAUGGGAAGAAAUGGAUGGGGGCUAAUAUCGUCCAUCCUUGACGGUACCAUCAGAGGAAGCACCGGCUAACUCCGUGCCAGCCGCCGCGGUAACAC